AGAACGAACGCUGGCGGCGUGGAUAAGACAUGCAAGUCGAACGCGACUUAUCUGGUUAGCAAUAACUAGGUAAGUUGAGUGGCGAAAGGGUGCGUAACACGUGGGAAUUUACCAAGAAGUGGGGAAUAGCUCGACGAAAGUCGAAUUAAUACCGCAUAUGAUCGCAAGAUCAAAGCCGGGGACCGCAAGGCCUGGCGCUUUUUGAGAAGCCCGCGGCCCAUCAGCUAGUUGGCGGGGUAAUGGCCCACCAAGGCUAUGACGGGUAGCUGGUCUGAGAGGACGACCAGCCACACUGGAACUGAGACACGGUCCAGACACCUACGGGUGGCAGCAGUCGAGAAUUUUUCACAAUGGACGAAA
rnacentral:rRNA from 1 species